GGGGUCGUUUUUGGUUUUGACAGCAAGAUGAAAUUGGUAUGUAAGCGUGUCGAGCGUUGUAAAUUUGCUCGUUAAUCUCGGUUUACAAAUCGCUAAUUGGCGAAAAUAACUAUGCAAUGGCUGCAUAAUUCAGACUCAGUCUGAUUAUCUUUAUCCUACUGCUAGGCGGUGGGACCAUUAUUCUCUCAACAGUUCUGUUCAUUAAUUGUUGGUUAAGAGAUUCAUAAUUUUGAACUAGCUAGGUAAAUUGCUUCGAUUUAUCGGUAAAACACUAGAAGCUUAAGCUUAUUGUUGGUUGCUUUUAACCUGCUUUAAGUCUAACAAUUAAUUGAAAGCUACACACGAAGAAAGCUUAUCUUUUCCUUGUUUGGACGAGGGUUCGAAUCCCUCCGACUCCACAG
rnacentral:tmRNA from 1 species